rnacentral:rRNA from 1 species
AUUGAACGCUGGCGGCGUGCCUAAUACAUGCAAGUAGGACGCAGUUGCGAACGGGUGAGUAACGCGUAGGUAACUACAUAUUAGAGGGGGAUAACUAUUGGAAACGAUAGCUAAUACCGCAUACUAGUAGAUGGACCUGCGUUGUAUUAGCUAGUAGGUAGGGUAAUGGCCUACCUAGGCAACGAGAGAUAGCCGACCUAGGAGGCUGGUGGGCGAGACUGGGAAUGAGACACGGCCGAGACGCCUACGGCACGCACCGGUAGGGAAACUGCGGCAAUUGGAGGAACCCGGACCAGGCAGCUCCGCGGAAGUGAAGAGGGUUUUCAGAGCGUAAGGGUCUGUUGUUAAGGAAGCGGUACUUAGCCAGAAAGGGACGGCUAACUACGUGCCAGCCGCCGCGGUAAUAC